rnacentral:rRNA from 1 species
AUUGAACGCUGGCGGCAGGCCUAACACAUGCAAGUCGAGCGGUAGCUCAGGAGAGCUUGCUCUCCGGGUGACGAGCGGCGGACGGGUGAGUAAUGUCUGGGAAACUGCCUGAUGGAGGGGGAUAACUACUGGAAACGGUAGCUAAUACCGCAUAACGUCGCAAGACCAAAGAGGGGGACCUUCGGACCUCUUGCCAUCAGAUGUGCCCAGAUGGGAGUAGCCAGUAGGUGGGGUAACGGCUCACCUAGGCGACGAUCCCUAGCUGGUCUGAGAGGAUGACCAGCCACACUGGAACUGAGACACGGUCCAGACUCCUACGGGAGGCAGCAGUGGGGAAUAUUGCACAAUGGGCGCAAGCCUGAUGCAGCCAUGCCGCGUGUAUGAAGAAGGCCUUCGGGUUGUAAAGUACUUUCAGCGGGGAGGAAGGUGUUGUGGUUAAUAACCACAGCAAUUGACGUUACCCGCAGAAGAAGCACCGGCUAACUCCGUGCCAGCAGCCGCCGUAACAC